rnacentral:rRNA from 1 species
UACGGAGGGUGCAAGCGUUAUCCGGAUUCACUGGGUUUAAAGGGUGCGUAGGUGGGUUGGUAAGUCAGUGGUGAAAUCCCCGAGCUUAACUUGGGAACUGCCAUUGAUACUAUCAGUCUUGAAUACCGUGGAGGUUAGCGGAAUAUGUCAUGUAGCGGUGAAAUGCUUAGAUAUGACAUAGAACACCAAUUGCGAAGGCAGCUCGCUAAACUUAUAUUGACGCUGAGGCACGAAAGCGUGGGGAUCAAACAGG